CCUACGGGUGGCUGCAGUGGGGGAUCUUGCACAAUGGGGGAAACCCUGAUGCAGCGACGCCGCGUGAAUGAAGAAGUACUUCGGUAUGUAAACCUCUAUCAGCAGGGAAUAAAAUGACGGUACCUGACUAAGAAGCCCCGGCUAACUACGUGCCAGCAGCCGCGGUAAUACGUAGGGGGCAAGCGUUAUCCGGAUUUACUGGGUGUAAAGGGAGCGUAGACGGUGUAGCAAGUCAGAAGUGAAAGCCCGGGGCUCAACCCCGGGACUGCUUUUGAAACUGUUGAACUAGAUUGCAGGAGAGGUAGGUGGAAUUCCUGGUGUAGCGGUGAAAUGCGUAGAUAUCAGGAGGAACACCAGUGGCGAAGGCGGCUUACUGGACUGUAAAUGACGCUGAGGCUCGAAAGCGUGGGGAGCAAACAGGAUUAGAUACCCGAGUAGUC
rnacentral:rRNA from 1 species